CAGCCGCCGCGGUAAUACGUAGGGGGCGAGCGUUGUCCGGAAUUAUUGGGCGUAAAGCGCGCGCAGGCGGUCCCUUAAGUCUGAUGUGAAAGCCCACGGCUCAACCGUGGAGGGUCAUUGGAAACUGGGGGACUUGAGUGCAGAAGAGGAGAGCGGAAUUCCACGUGUAGCGGUGAAAUGCGUAGAGAUGUGGAGGAACACCAGUGGCGAAGGCGGCUCUCUGGUCUGUAACUGACGCUGAGGCGCGAAAGCGUGGGGAGCAAACAGGAUUAGAUCCCCUGGUAGUCCACGCCGUAAACGAUGAGUGCUAAGUGUUAGAGGGGUUAAACCCUUUAGUGCUGGAGCUAACGCGUUAAGCACUCCGCCUGGGGAGUACGGCCGCAAGGCUGAAACUUAAAGGAAUUGGCGGC
rnacentral:rRNA from 1 species